GCCAAGCAAUGGGGAGACGCAGGAAGGUAGCCUCCGCGUGGCGAUGGUUGUCCACGUCUAAAGGUGUAGGGAGUCAGGUAGGCAAAUCCGCCUGACAUGUUCCUGAGACCUGAUAGUGACCGCACUAGCGGGAAGCAGGGUGAUCCUAUGCUGCCGAGAAAAUCCUCUAGCGAGGUUCGAGCCGCCCGUACCCCAAACCGACUCAGGUGGUUAGGUAGAGAAUACCAAGGCGAUCGAGUGAAUCGUGGUUAAGGAAUUCGGCAAAAUGCCCCCGUAACUUC
rnacentral:rRNA from 13 species